rnacentral:lncRNA from 1 species
UUGUGGGAGGUAGGUACUAUUAAAGUAAGAAUUUAUAGGUAUCGUUUGGUUUGGAGAUAAGCAAAAAAAUAAUUAUUUCAGAAAUAGAUAUAAAUUGAGGUAUAAAUAGGGAUUAAAUCAAUUUUACAUUUGGAUGAAAUUGAGUUACUCCUAGGGAUAAAAAAAUAACGUUGGAUUAGGUAAGAUGGAAUAAGAAGGAUAGUGAGUUUUUAUAAAUAAAAAAUAAUGAUAGUACCCUCUUAUUAUGUUCGAAUUUUAAUUUGUAAAAUUUUAUAUUUAUAUUUAUAUUUUUAAAUUUAAAAUUUUAACUUUGAAAUUUCAAAAUUUUAAAUUUAAGCAUUUUUUAAAUUUUAAAUUUUAAAUUUUAAAUCUCAAAUUUUAAAUUCAAAAUUUUAAAUUUUAAAUUUAAGAUUAAAUUUAAAUUUGAAAAAUAUAAAAUAUCAAAUUUUAAAUUUUAAAAUUUUAAAAUAUCAAAUUUAAAUUUAAAUUUUAAAAUUUAUAAUUUAAAAUUAUAAACUUUAAUUUUGAGAUUAUAAAUUAUAAAUUUUAAAAUUUUGAAUUUUUAAAAUAAGAAUAGAGUUGGGAACAAUUAAUAAAAAAAAUUAUUAUAAUAAAUUUAUAUUUUUUUUAAAUUCUACUUAAACUUAAAUUUAUUAUAAAAUUAUUAUAAUAUUUAAAUAUAUAUAAUAUGUAUUAAUAUACUACAAUUAAUAAUUUUAAAUAAAAAUAAUGUAUUAUAAUAUAUAACAUAUAAUAGUUAUAUAAUUUAGUUUUAAUUUAAUUUAUAAUUUUAAUUAAGUUUGAAAUUAAGUAUUGGAAUAAUACUAUUUCACCAAAAUGGUGGAAUAGCAAAUUCUUUGCUAUUCCGGGAUAACGGAAAAUAGCAAGGUUUAACCGGGAUAAAAUAUUUCUGUAAAAUAUUAUCCCGUUUGGCGGAAUAGCGGGGAUAAUUUUCGUUAUCCCCGCUUAUCCCACAAACCAAACUGGGCCAUAGAGAAUAAAAUCACGUAUAGAAAAUAGCAAAUAGAGGCGGUAUUAUAAACAAACACUUCCAGAAAAACUAAAAUAUGAUGUCCAUGAUCAAUCUUUCUAAUUUCUAAGAGAAAGAACGAAUCAAGCUUGUUCCACAAAAGCCACAUAGUAUAUCUAUUAACUUACAUGAAUUUUCAAUGUUUGUUGCCACAGAAUUCCCCAUGUUUGUUGCCACAUGGCAAGUUUUUCUUCACCCUCACUAGAAUGUGACUCUUCUUCUUCCUCUCACUAAACUUUCAAUGUACAUUUUAACGGUUUCACUAACAAAACUUUCAAUUAAUCUAUAUAUCCUCUAUUAAUCCCCCGUAUUGGUCAUCCACGUGUCAUCUUACUUUUAAUCCUCUAUUAAUCUCCGUAUGGGUCCCACCUGCUACCCCCGCCGGUUCGAUCCUGCUGCCCCGUCGGUUCGAUCCCUGCUACCCCCACCGCUUCGAUCCCUGCUACCCCCGCCUUUUCGAUAGCUCCUAUUACUCUUUUCACCGCUUCGAUCCCGUCGGUUGCUCCCCCUAUCUCUCCUCUCCUCUCUUCUCCACCCCUUUCCUUCGAUCCCCUUCGUCCCCUCGACCUCUCCCCUCCCUCGAAGCCCUAGCUUUCUCGAUCGUGGGGGGUGGGGUGCGGCCAUGAAUCUUGCGGGGCUCAGAUCAGUGGAGAACGCCCACGACGAGUCGAUCUGGGCGGCGACGUGAGUCCCUGCCACCGACUCCCGCCCCGCGCUCCUCCUCACGGGCUCCCUCGACGAGACCAUGAGGCUCUGGCGCCCCGACGAGCUCGCCGCGGCGGCGCCGCCCUCACGCGGCCACGCCCUCGGUGGCGUCGCUGCCGCCGCCCACCCCUCCGGCUCCCUCGCCGCCGCGGCCUCCCUCGACAGCUCCGUCCGCGUCUUCGACGUCGACUCCAAUGCCUCCGUCCCCUCCCUCGACGCCCCCCCCCCUCCUCUCCCUCCUCCGAGGUCUGGGGCUUGUAGUUCGACCCCAAGGUACAAUAAGAGGAUAGUUUUUUCUAUAAUAACAUAGUAUCAGAGCUAAAUCUAAGAACAUUCGGUCAAAUACACCUUUUGAGCNAGGAGGAGGAAGGAAAGGGUCGGAGGAUUCUUGCUCUUCCGCCUUCGCCAUUUGCGAGUAUGAGUCUCGCACGCGCGAUUGCUUCCCCCGUCGGUUGGGUUUGCCGGGAGGCUGUUUUCCCUUGUUUGCUUUUUCUAAUAUUUUUCUAAAAUUAAUUUUAAUUUAUUUUUAUAUUUAUAUUUUAUAAUAAAACAUUAUUAUUAUAAUAAAGUAUUUAUAAAAAGAAGCGGUGAAAAGUGAAAAGUGUUGCGUCGUACUGGCACAGUAGACACUGUCCAAAUGAUGGUACCAUUGUGAACCCACAGGGCGCACAGAGGUACGGGGUCCGGAUGGUACGAUAUCGAACGACGGGCCCGUAAGGCGUGGCCCCACAAUGCAGCUGUUCACAAAUGAACGGUGCCAUGCCGGGCCAUGGGCUGGCUGGGCACUCAGUCCGUGUCGGCCCCUAACCAUAGCGGGCCGGACUGGACUAUGGGUCGGCUGGUCGAUUUUUAAACCCCGACAUUAAAAUAUAGUCGCCUAAUAAUAAUUGAUUAUCGCUCAUUACUAAUCCACACGUUGUGGGAGGUAGGUACUAUUAAAGUAAGAAUUUAUAGGUAUCGUUUGGUUUGGAGAUAAGCAAAAAAAUAAUUAUUUCAGAAAUAGAUAUAAAUUGAGGUAUAAAUAGGGAUUAAAUCAAUUUUACAUUUGGAUGAAAUUGAGUUACUCCUAGGGAUAAAAAAAUAACGUUGGAUUAGGUAAGAUGGAAUAAGAAGGAUAGUGAGUUUUUAUAAAUAAAAAAUAAUGAUAGUACCCUCUUAUUAUGUUCGAAUUUUAAUUUGUAAAAUUUUAUAUUUAU